UACAGAGGUCCCGAGCGUUGUUCGGAUUCACUGGGCGUAAAGGGUGCGUAGGUGGCGAGGUAAGUCGGAUGUGAAAUCUCGGAGCUCAACUCCGAAACUGCAUUGGAAACUACCUGGCUAGAGGUUUGGAGGGGGGACUGGAAUGCUUGGUGUAGCAGUGAAAUGCGUAGAUAUCAAGCGGAACACCAGUGGCGAAAACAGGUAGCUGGGGCUGUGCUGACACUGAGACACGAAAGCCAGGGGAGCAAACGGG
rnacentral:rRNA from 1 species